rnacentral:lncRNA from 1 species
GUCUCGAGCAAUCAGUCGAAACGCUUCAUGACUUGGUUGUUGUGCCUGGAGGUGCGGAGAGCGAAUCUUAUGCAAAUUACGGGCCUAAUUUUCUUACUGUCUGAUGACCUGAUAGAGAUGCUGCAGUAUUUAACUAAACAAAGGUAAUAACCAAAUUUACCAUAAAGACAAAGAUGACCACAGAGCUCAGAAUGAUGCAGUCACCAGAACCCACCAGAGCAACUUGCUCAACACUCAAAACUGCAGAAAUGAUGUCCCUAUCAGUUCAGUUAAUAAACAUGUCAAUGCAGCUACUUAUCAUCUGGGCGCAGAUGUUGACUAUGUGGGCUCGGAUAAUAACCAUAACAGCUCAGUUACUGACGCUCCUGGCGAGGAUGGUAACUGUAGCAGUAGAACUAAUGACUCCUGCAGGGGAAGCAUUUCUAACAGCUGUCAGGAUGAUGAAUUCACUGAUUGAGUUUGUGAGAUCUGCGGUUGCUGUGGACAUAAGGAAUGAUGCUUUUUUGUGAACUGAUUUCCUGUUUAUGGAGUUUCAGCCUUAAUGGUAACCUUCCAUGGUAAAUGUCAGCUAGUAGGAUGUCUUAUUAGAUAACUACUAUGACAAAUGUGAAAAACCACAUGGUGAAGUAUAUCAUAAUGAAAAAAUUGUUGUAGGCCUAAAAUCUAGUGUUGCAUUUUCUGUGCAUCUUGAAUAAAUAUUUUGGGAGGAGGAUAUCACCUCUUUUUUUCCUUUGACUGUAUGCAUAUUAUUAUCUCAGAAAAUCACUUUUGGAAUGUCAGUUGCUUACUCUGUAAUGAUAGUUUAACCAAUAGUUAUAAGUAAAUUAAUUUUAUCAUCAUCAUAAAGCUGUUGAUCUUUUUUUCUUUCCCCCUUAUUUCUUUUAAUCUGUUUCUUUCCAUUGGUUUAUUUUGAACCAAAUAGUGUUGUAGUAAUCUUACUCUUGAAAUAGGUUGGACUUUAAGAUUUGAUAUAAAUUUUCUCUCUCCAUGUUGAUAUUGUGUUAUUUAUUUCUGUAGUUAUAUUUAUGAUGAUGUCAGCUUGUGUUAAAUGCAGUGAAUCCAGAUAUAGGCUGAUAUUGAUAUUGUAAUUUUUUGUUUUCAUUCUUUCUUUUUGGCUAAAGGCAUACUGUUAUUGUCAGUGUUAUAUAUUUUAUGUAGGAGGCCAUAGCAUGUAUGCAAAUUAUUGUUUUUUGUGUGAAUACCAAUCAUAUAUGUAUGACACAAAAUAAUGGUUUAUACAAAGAUUUUGAUGCUGUCAAAAUAGCAUUCAAAACUAUUUGGAAAAUAUACUUCAAGGUAAUGUAACAACUAGACUAUACAGGGAGAGAUUUUUCCCUAAAAUUUCAAAAAGCUUUUCAAAUCAGUAGUUGAAAAUAUAACUUGAUUAUAUAUCAUAUGCCAGUUCACCCUUUGAUUUCAUAAUCAUUUAAUGAGUUGUAUAAUUUCAAGGCAAGAGUGUAUUUAUUCUUGAUAUAUUCUUAGUAUUUUUACUACAAUGUGCUUUUUCAAUUUUUUUUUUGUAGCCAUAAAUAGGGAAUUGUCAAAUAUGUCAAAUAAAUCAUCAGUGUAUGUAUAUAAAAAAUUGUUGUUCUGCAAGAUUUUGUUUUAUUCAAUGUCUCUAAGAGAAUAAGAAAAGAAAUACCAAUUUUAUAAUGCUGAUGUAUGUUCAUUUCUGGAUGGAAAAAUAUAAUCCCAAUUUAAAGAAUUAUUCUCAUAACACCAGUGGGGCACAGAUAGUCGAGGCCCUUUUCACAAUGGUCGGAAAACUGUAUUGCUGAAUUUGCUUUUGAUAUUCAUACACGCUGAUUGUAUUUUGUCAAUUAUGUAAUUGUUUUCACUACAUCACGUGUAAUACAACUUACUGUAGUAACUGGGAUGAAGUGGGCUACAUUUCAUGACCGUUCUGAAAGCUGCUGCUUGUUAGCACUGAUAAUUGUUGGAUAAUUUCUGCAAUAGAGGUGCUAAAUCCCAUACUUAAAGUAGUGCAAUUAUCACACUUAAUUUAUUGUAAUAUAUUGAAUUAUAAAAAGGUGAUACAUAAUAUAUUUUGAGAGGUAACAGUUAUUAAUACUUACAUGGCAAUUCUACUAUAUUAUGUCAAAACUAUAAAUUAUAAUUGCUUUAGGGAAUAGUCUAUGCACAUGUUUUCUCAGCAUUUACCAGCUGUUCUAGCCAGUUAUUGGUAUUUUAAUAGUGUCUUUUGAUAUAAAACUAUUGAAUUUGCUUAAAAAGAAUAGUUGAUCAGAAGAAGUUUGGUAUUAAAAUGAGAGUGAAUAAUGCUUGUAGAUAAGGAGGUAUAAAUGAGAUUGAAUAUUUUCAAAAACCCAAGAGAUGUAAUGCAUUUCAAUAAUCUUCUGCAGAAUUAUAUGUAAUUUUGACAAAGAUUAUUGAAAAGUGUUGAUUACAUCUCGUGAGGUUAUUCACUCUCGUUUAUAUGCCUCUAAAAUGGAUCCUAUGGAACUUAAUAUUGGCAAAUAGAAGACUAAGCUUGUAGUCUGUAGUUCUUUCUUUACUAAUUGAGAACAGACUGUAUUACUUCUGUAUGAUUUAUGCUACAUGUUUUGCUGAGGAAAAUGUAUAGACAAAACAAGUAAUAUUUCAUAAUUCACUUUCAUUAGGUCAGUAGAUCCCAGGAGGCUUGGCUUAUGAAUAUCCUUCCUUUGUAUACAGAUAUGAAUUCAAUUUAAAGUUAAUUCAUAAUGUUGAGAAUUAUGAUGUGAAUUUACAUUUAAAGAAAAAGUGUUGCAUACAGUGACAGCUUUCCUGUUCUUUUAUGUUAGUAAGGUAGUUACUAUAUUAAGUAGUAACUUGAUAACCAUAGAUUAAUAACUUGAACACUGAGAGAAUUGUAUCUUGUGUUAUAAUAAUUACAUUGUUAAGUUAUACCUCUUAAUGUUACCAAUAUUAAUUGGUUGCUUUUGUAACAUUCCCUGUUACCAGUAAUAAACUUUCUUUGUUAUCAAAUACUUCAUUAGGUUGUUUAGGUCUUGCAAGUAAUUAUUUUACCGAGUUGUCAUUAGGGAUAGAGGAAUAUCUUUGCAGCCAUUAGGUUGGUUAUAGCACACAGAAAAGACCUGUUUUGGGUCCCUUGAGAUGGGCCAUAUACUGUAUUAUUAUUAAUGUUGUGAUGUUUUUGUGUUACCCUGAAAAUAUGGGAAGAGUUUAUAGAUGUAUUUUUUAUUACUUCUUGUUUAUGGCUGAUUGUAAUCAAGAGCAAAAGUGUUAGAAUUAUUGACUUGCUACUCUGUUGCUUGUACUUAUCAGUAAAAGUUUGUGUUUAGAAUAGUGUGUGUUAAUAUUUCCAUAACUUUGUUCAUAGCCCAAGUUGUCAGGGAAAUCUUAAUUAAUUCUCAAUUGGGUUUAUGGAUUGUUUUGUUGGGAAUAUGGAGGAUAGCCAUAUUUUUGGAAAGAUCAUGUUUGACUGUCUUCUGGAUGUGAUUAUAA